rnacentral:tRNA from 1 species
GGCGGUGUAGCUCAGCGGCUAGAGCACGCGGUUCAUACCCGCGGAGUCACUGGUUCGAAUCCAGUCACCGCUACCA